GACGAACGCUGGCGGCGUGCCUAAUACAUGCAAGUAGAACGCUGAAGAGAGGAGCUUGCUCUUCUUGGAUGAGUUGCGAACGGGUGAGUAACGCGUAGGUAACCUGCCUUGUAGCGGGGGAUAACUAUUGGAAACGAUAGCUAAUACCGCAUAACAAUGGAUGACACAUGUCAUUUAUUUGAAAGGGGCAAUUGCUCCACUACAAGAUGGACCUGCGUUGUAUUAGCUAGUAGGUGAGGUAAUGGCUCACCUAGGCGACGAUACAUAGCCGACCUGAGGGGGUGAUCGGCCACACUGGGACUGAGACACGGCCCAGACUCCUACGGGAGGCAGCAGUAGGGAAUCUUCGGCAAUGGGGGCAACCCUGACCGAGCAACGCCGCGUGAGUGAAGAAGGUUUUCGGAUCGUAAAGCUCUGUUGUAAGUCAAGAACGGGUGUGAGAGUGGAAAGUUCACACUGUGACGGUAGCUUACCAGAAAGGGACGGCUAACUACGUGCCAGCAGCCGCGGUAAUACGUAGGUCCCGAGCGUUGUCCGGAUUUAUUGGGCGUAAAGCGAGCGCAGGCGGUUUGAUAAGUCUGAAGUUAAAGGCUGUGGCUCAACCAUAGUUCGCUUUGGAAACUGUCAAACUUGAGUGCAGAAGGGGAGAGUGGAAUUCCAUGUGUAGCGGUGAAAUGCGUAGAUAUAUGGAGGAACACCGGUGGCGAAAGCGGCUCUCUGGUCUGUAACUGACGCUGAGGCUCGAAAGCGUGGGGAGCGAACAGGAUUAGAUACCCUGGUAGUCCACGCCGUAAACGAUGAGUGCUAGGUGUUGGAUCCUUUCCGGGAUUCAGUGCCGCAGCUAACGCAUUAAGCACUCCGCCUGGGGAGUACGACCGCAAGGUUGAAACUCAAAGGAAUUGACGGGGGCCCGCACAAGCGGUGGAGCAUGUGGUUUAAUUCGAAGCAACGCGAAGAACCUUACCAGGUCUUGACAUCCCGAUGCUAUUUCUAGAGAUAGAAAGUUACUUCGGUACAUCGGUGACAGGUGGUGCAUGGUUGUCGUCAGCUCGUGUCGUGAGAUGUUGGGUUAAGUCCCGCAACGAGCGCAACCCCUAUUGUUAGUUGCCAUCAUUCAGUUGGGCACUCUAGCGAGACUGCCGGUAAUAAACCGGAGGAAGGUGGGGAUGACGUCAAAUCAUCAUGCCCCUUAUGACCUGGGCUACACACGUGCUACAAUGGUUGGUACAACGAGUUGCGAGUCGGUGACGGCGAGCUAAUCUCUUAAAGCCAAUCUCAGUUCGGAUUGUAGGCUGCAACUCGCCUACAUGAAGUCGGAAUCGCUAGUAAUCGCGGAUCAGCACGCCGCGGUGAAUACGUUCCCGGGCCU
rnacentral:rRNA from 1 species